CUGAGUGAAGAGCUGCAGGACAAAGCCAAAGCAGAAUCAGACAAGCUUUUGUGGCAUGCCACAGACCCUAGUGAAUCAGAUUUGCGUGAAUUAUUUAAAUAGGUCUCCCAAGAUUUUGUGAAAAAUACCCAUAAGCACGCCUUUCGGUAGCAAAACUACAGAAGAGGAUGAAGGCCGGGUGGGGGGAUAUAUUGAAGUGAGGCAAGAUGCGCAUGUUGAAGUCAGCUCAAGUGAGGAUUUUGGCAGUUCUCCCUCUCAUGUUUUCCAUUACGGUUAUUUUUUUUUAAAGGUGGAUUGGAAAAGAUGCGGUUGUUUGUUGCGUUUUCCCACUGCCCUGGGACUCACUGGAGCCACAAUUUAAUGAAAGCCUACAAAAUUUGCGUUCCUUGGCCCCCGGGUUUUGUCUCGCAGGGAAUUUCUAUUGCGUAUAAGUACUUGCUGUUAAUCUAGUUUUGCAAGUACAACGUAUAAUUUACUCAGAUAAUACUUAUUCGUAUUUUUAAAGGUUAAACGUUGUCAUUAAGCGUUGUAAAUCCUGGAAGACCAAUCCCAGGACAACAAUUCCCACGGACUGCAGCCGGCGCGCUCACGGUGCUGAUGCUGCUGGUGGUUAGCCAGGCAGCUAAUCACUGAAGCUCCGGAUAAAUGGUCACAUUUACGGCGUUUAACAUCCACGUUAGCCCACGUUGUGUGGCGCCAGAUGGACGCGUAAUGUUGUGUGCAUGUUCUUGUUGUCGUUUCGUGUAAUGGAGCUGUACCACCUCUGUACAAGCCGUAAGCAACGGGUACUUAUGCAUUCUACGGUUAGCUCGCUAACGCUCCGGGCAUUUUUAAGAUUUGCUGUGGUUAAUGGCUCUAGUCGUCAUGCUGUCGUGAGCGAGCCUUGGUUUGCUGCAGCCUCGCUUCCCCACUAGGAUUACCUGACGGUCAGAGCCUCCACCAGCUCCACGACAUGACUCACACACAGUGAGCCGACCAGCUGGCUGGAUGGCUAGCUCUUUCGUUAGCAGCUAACCUAGGCGGUGAUGCUAGCAGCCGUUCGGGUGUCCGUACCGCCAACCAUCUGAAGCCAUGUCUGCCCGAUGUAGCUGAUGUGUUACUCGGCUUGCCAAAAGAUGAAGGGCCGGGGUUAUGAUGCGCCUCUGCCUGCAGGAGGCGGAACAUGGAAGCAGAGGAAGAGCGGAGUGCACACAAAGUUUUGGAUCCUAUGGUGCCCUGCAGGCAGAACGGAAGGAUCGGUACUUUGAGAACUCUCCACCGCCUGCUGAAAACCCAGAACACACUGCAGAUUCAGUCCAUCACCCGCUCAGAAUGUGCUGGUAGGUCAAAUCCUGCAUGGACAGAAACUCCCUUAUUCACAAGGUGUCUUUGGUUCACAGCGGGUAAAAGGUUUAAAAGGUUUAAAAAGGUGUGUUUUCCGGUACUUCCAGGUCAUUAAAAACCAGCUGAUUAAGAUUUAGUUGAUUAGCAGAUUUUAAAAGGAGGGAGCAGCAAAUCCCAGCCU
ensembl:lncRNA